rnacentral:rRNA from 1 species
GAUGAACGCUGGCGGCGUGCCUAAUACAUGCCAGUCGAGCGAACAGACGAGGAGCUUGCUCCUCUAACGUUAGCGGCGGACGGGUGAGUAACACGUGGAUAACCUACCUAUAAGACUGGGAUAACUUCGGGAAACCGGAGCUAAUACCGGAUAAUAUAUUGAACCGCAUGGUUCAAUAGUGAAAGACGGUUUUGCUGUCACUUAUAGAUGGAUCCGCGCCGCAUUAGCUAGUUGGUAAGGUAACAGCUUACCAAGGCAACGAUGCGUAGCCGACCUGAGAGGGUGAUCGGCCACACUGGAACUGAGACACGGUCCAGACUCCUACGGGAGGCAGCAGUAGGGAAUCUUCCGCAAUGGGCGAAAGCCUGACGGAGCAACGCCGCGUGAGUGAUGAAGGUCUUCGGAUCGUAAAACUCUGUUAUUAGGGAAGAAUAAAUGUGUAAGUAACUAUGCACGUCUUGACGGUACCUAAUCAGAAAGCCACGGCUAACUACGUG